UCCCUCAUAGCUCAGUCAGUAAAGUAUCUGCCUGCAAUGCAGGAGACCUGGGUUCAAUUCCUGGGAUGGGAG
rfam:Ovis aries breed Texel chromosome 14, whole genome shotgun sequence.